CCGCGUUGAGACAGGGGGGAGAGCCGAUGCUGCUCUGCACCCCGGCCGCUUUCCCGGGCGGAGUCGCCUGCUCUGGGCUCCUUCUGCGUGGAUGACUGAGUGUGUAGCGUGGCGCAUGUGGCAGACUCAGUACGCGACCCGCUGCGCUGCGGGAGGAGGCGGCGCACGGCGUGUCCCCCCCUCUCUCGGGACGGAUGGUUCACGCCGCGGGAGGCGCGGCGGGAGCGGCGGAGCGGGAGCUGCCGUGCGGGGCUGUGGUGCGGGCGGCUGCCUGUCCUCCAAAUCGUACGUAUAGUACGAAAUUUCCUCUCUUACGUCGCUCUGGACUCUUUGAACUGCUCGUGUUUCUCCGUCGCUCUCCCAAAUGUGUUUUCUCCCUUUUUUUUUUUUUUUUUUUUUUUUUUUUUUUUUUUUUUUUUGCUUUCCGGAUGAAAGGAGUGGAAGUUGGUCAUUGGCGGGAGCAUGCACCAGCAUGAUCAAAAGAUGCCCCAAGAAUAUGGUAUUUUGCUGGAAGUUCAGGAUCUCCCAGAGAUAAAUAGCCCCAUGUGAUGGAAGCCUCUGAGCAUGAGAAGGGCGUGUGGGAAGAAGCAUCAAGUGCUGAUUGCACAACUGAGAAAAUAUAAUUAAUCUUCAGUGAAGUAAUGAAACUCCUUCAAGUUGGCCAUGAUGCUUUUAAAGUAGUAACAUCAGAAAGUUUUAUCAAUGAAAUGUGAAAAUCUGCUUGAGCAGCACAGAUGCACUGAGUCCUUUGCCACUCCUGCUGGUAGGAAAUGAGCCUGUGAAAUCCAUCCACACCUUCUGCACCCCAGGCACUGGGGACUCUUGCAGGGCUGAAGAAUAAGGAAGAAUUGUUAGAAGCAGCCUGAGAGCAAUGCCCAUCUAUGCAAACACUCCUCCCUAAGAAACAAAAAGCUAUUCAAAAGAUGGACGAUUAAGCCUCCAUGUAGAACAACAGAGUGCAUUUAACUGCAUUGUGGCAGUGUCUGGUGAUGUUUAUAUAGACAAAAAAUAAAGAUUUAUGUUUCUGUUCUCAGAA